CGGUAAUUCCAGCUCCAAUAGCGUAUACUAAAGUUGUUGCAGUUAAAAAGCUCGUAGUUGGAUUUCUGCGGGGACGGAGCGGCCGGUCGCAAUUUGCGACUCGAGCUAGCGCUUUCCCCGCAUCCUGCCGCGAACCGUGCUACCAUUAGUUUGGUGGCGCUGGGGAUCGGCUCGAUUACUUUGAGAAAAAUAGAGUGUUCAAAGCAGGCCACACGCCUUGAAUAAGUUAGCAUGGAAUAAUGACUAAGGACUUUGGUUCUUUUCGUUGGUGUUCGGGACUGAAGUAAUGAUUGAUAGGGACAGUUGGGGCGGUCCGUAUUCCAAAGCGAGAGGUGAAAUUCUUAGACCUUCGGAAGACGAACAGCUGCGAAAGCGUUCCGCAAGGAUGUUCCCUUUGAUCAAGAACGAAAGUUGGGGGAUCGAAGACGAUCAGAUACCGUCGUAGUCUCAACUAUAAACUAUACCAGCUAGGGAUCGGCCAACGUUUAAUUUAUCGACUUGGUCGGCACCUUAUGAGAAAUCAAAGCAUCUGGGUUCCGGGGGGAGUAUGGUCGCAAGGCUGAAACUUAAAGGAAUUGACGGAAGGGCACCACCAGCCGUGGAGCCUGUGGCUUAAUUUGACUCAACACGGGAAAACUUACCAGGUCCAGACAUAGGAAGGAUUGACAGAUUGAUAGCUCUUUCUUGAUUCUGUGGGUGGUGGUGCAUGGCCGUUUUUAGUCGGUGGAUGUGAUCUGUCUGCUUAAUUGCGUUAACGGACGAGACCCCAGCCUGCUAAAUAGCGCGGCCGAGCUUUGCUCGGUGCGAGCUUCUUAGAGGGACCAUGAUGCGCGAUAGCACAAGGAAGUUUGGGGCAACAACAGGUCUGUGAUGCCCUUAGAUGUUCUGGGCCGCACACGGGCUACACUGGCGCCUGCAACGAGCAUAUCAGCUGGCCCGAGAGGGUCUUGGCUAAUCUUUGGAACCGGCGCCGUGCUUGGGAUUGACCAUUGCAAUUGUUGGUCAUGCAACGAGGAAUGCCUUGUAAACGCGAGUCAUCAGCUCGCAUUGAAUACGUCCCUGCCCUUUGUACACACCGCCCGUCGCUCCUACCGAUGAAUGUUCCGAUGAAAUUUUCGGAGAGCACCAGAGAACGGGGCUCCGCCUUGCAGAUCUGGAGGCUCAAAGUCACUUAAAUCUGAACAUUUCGAGGAAGGAGAAGUCGUAACAAGGUAACC
rnacentral:rRNA from 1 species